CCUGCAGCGCCCGGCGCCCGCCGAGGAGCGCGCAACUGGGAUUCUCAGCGCUUCACUGUGCCUGUCCGUUGCUAGGUGCUGGGGACACACGGCGAGCAAGAGAGACCGCGGCCCUUGUUCGCGCUGAGCCUGCGGUCCGGUGGAUGGAGCCCGCAGUACACAGACCUGCCAGGAAAGAGAAGAAUUUUCCUGAUGCUUGGUCCAAGCAGGGACUCCCCGGUGGAUUGAGGAAUGCCCGGCUUUUCCUCAGGUCCUUGAUCUCAGCCGCAGGCACCACCCAACAGACCCCAAGGAUGAAAGGCCUGAGGUCUUCAAGUUGCUGCUAGAGCGCUUUUAGCCUCUCCAGAUAACAGAAUGCAGCUGCCACGCAACUUUGUAAGGGCCCAGGGCGCACGGUGACUGCGCGGGGCCGGCGCGCCCUUCGCUCCAGGUCUCGGUCAGGGCGCUGCCAUAGCAACGGCCUG